CACAACCAAGGUACAUCCCCUUGACCAGAAUCAAACCUGGGACCUUUCAGUCCGCAGGCCGAUGCUCUAUCUACUGACCCAAACCAGUCAGGGAGAGAGCCAAAUUUUUCAAACUU